CUUGCUUGGGAAGGAAUGUGAGUUAGAGAGUAAUCCAUCAAUCUUUGAGAGUGGUUUUAAACUCCUACCAGCCUGGAAAAUUCCCCCCAUACUUACCAGAAGUAAGACAAUGACGUAUCUGAUGGCACUGAGAUUUAGUCAUGAGUUUUAUUUGGAAAUGCUUUUGAAAGCUUUACUUGCCCUGUCUCAAUUCGCUCAUCUUACUGCACGUCUGGUUCUGAAGCAUGUAUCAAUUUGUGUGUCUUUGAUAAGUGCAAUUUUACUACAAUUGACACAGAUCGUUCUCUCACUGAUUUACAGCGUGAAGAACACCAUGCAGGGUUCUGCUCCUCCUUCCAAGCUUCCACCAUGGCCUAAGCCCAAGGCUGGUGGAAAUGUGAGAACCCAGGGCUUGGAGAAGAGCUGUCAGGUUGCCAUUCAGAUGAGCAGCUGCUUUGACAGACAGCAAAGGGAAUACCUCAUAUGGGAGAGAGAGUAGUGUCAUCCUCUCUAACCCCAAAGGGAAAUGCUGUGGACUGAUGUGCUGUGUGAAGCAGACCUGGCUGCCAUUCAGAACUAUCAACGAUGAGAAGAGCAAAUUCAGGAAACUGUGGGCUAAAGAAAGCACAGGCUGAAUCACUAGUAUGAAGGAGAUCAAUCUGCUCAUUUUAUCCUCCCUGGGAACACUCUCCCGGUCACACUUUCCAGCAUCCUGCACUUAGGUGGGCAGGAAGAUUAGCCCCGGGUAAUGAAAUGUGAGCUGAGGUAAUGGGCAUUACUCCCAGGCUGAAGCAGUGUAAAAACCUGGUGAUUCUCUGCUCUCUCUGCCCCUGGCCUAAUGACCAAGGAGGGCUUGUGUUAAGCCAGCUCCCAGGGCAGCUUGGAUCUCUGAGUCACUACGUGGACUGCAGCUGCCUGCACCCCUCAUUGGAUGUCAAAUAAGUAAAAAAACAAAUGUUGCUGUAUUUUGUGGCUGUUCGUCUUUCUCUCUACCCCUUGUAACCUAGGCUAUCCAGCUACUCAAUAGAACCACUGUAAAACUAGAUCUAAAAACCAAGCAGAGUGGAAUAAGUACAUUCUAAG
rnacentral:lncRNA from 13 species